AAAUGUAAAAUAGAAUUUCUAUGUUUGAUUACGGCUCAAAAAGUAUAACAUUUG
rnacentral:tRNA from 1 species